AGAACCCAGUAGUAGCUUUGUAAAAGAAGGUAUUCGCUAUGCAGGGUAUGCGAUAACCACCAUAGACAAGGUGAUAGAAGCAUGACCAUUGUCGAAAGGGACAUCAGCACAGAAGGCGGAAUUAAUCACACUGACAAGGGCCUUGCAACUAGCUGAGGGGUUGAGAGUGAACAUCUAUACGGAUUCAAGAUAUGCCUUCUUAACAACUCAUGCCCAUGUAGCAUUGUAUAAAGAAGGAGCUGUAAUGGUAGCAGAGGUCACACCUUGGAUUCAUCACUCUAGGGUUAAACCAG